rnacentral:rRNA from 1 species
CCUACGGGCGGCUGCAGUGGGGAAUAUUGCACAGUGGGCGCAAGCCUGAUGCAGCCAUGCCGCGUGUGUGAAGAAGGCCUUCGGGUUGUAAAGCACUUUCAGCGGGGAGGAAGGCGGUGAGGUUAAUAACCUCAUCGAUUGACGUUACCCGCAGAAGAAGCACCGGCUAACUCCGUGCCAGCAGCCGCGGUAAUACGGAGGGUGCAAGCGUUAAUCGGAAUUACUGGGCGUAAAGCGCACGCAGGCGGUCUGUCAAGUCGGAUGUGAAAUCCCCGGGCUCAACCUGGGAACUGCAUUCGAAACUGGCAGGCUAGAGUCUUGUAGAGGGGGGUAGAAUUCCAGGUGUAGCGGUGAAAUGCGUAGAGAUCUGGAGGAAUACCGGUGGCGAAGGCGGCCCCCUGGACAAAGACUGACGCUCAGGUGCGAAAGCGUGGGGAGCAAACAGGAUUAGAUACCCUUGUAGUC